rnacentral:rRNA from 1 species
AUUGAACGCUGGCGGCAUGCCUUACACAUGCAAGUCGAACGGUAACAGGUCUUCGGAUGCUGACGAGUGGCGAACGGGUGAGUAAUACAUCGGAACGUGCCUAGUAGUGGGGGAUAACUACUCGAAGGAGUGGCUAAUACCGCAUGAGAUCUACGGAUGAAAGCAGGGGAUCGCAAGACCUUGUGCUACUAGAGCGGCCGAUGGCAGAUCAGGUAGUUGGUGGGAUAAAAGCUUACCAAGCCGACGAUCUGUAGCUGGUCUGAGAGGACGAUCAGCCACACUGGGACUGAGACACGGCCCAGACUCCUACGGGAGGCAGCAGUGGGGAAUUUUGGACAAUGGGCGCAAGCCUGAUCCAGCAAUGCCGCGUGCAGGAUGAAGGCCUUCGGGUUGUAAACUGCUUUUGUACGGAACGAAAAGCCCUGGGUUAAUACCCUGGGGUCAUGACGGUACCGUAAGAAUAAGCACCGGCUAACUACGUGCCAGCCGCCGCCGUA